rnacentral:rRNA from 1 species
GUGGGGAAUAUUGGACAAUGGGCGAAAGCCUGAUCCAGCCAUGCCGCGUGUGUGAAGAAGGUCUUCGGAUUGUAAAGCACUUUAAGUUGGGAGGAAGGGCAGUAAGUUAAUACCUUGCUGUUUUGACGUUACCGACAGAAUAAGCACCGGCUAACUUCGUGCCAGCAGCCGCGGUAAUACGAAGGGUGCAAGCGUUAAUCGGAAUUACUGGGCGUAAAGCGCGCGUAGGUGGUUUUGUAAGUUGGAGGUGAAAUCCCCGGGCUCAACCUGGGAACUGCCUCCAAAACUUCAUGACUCGAGUACGGUGGAGGGUAGUGGAAUUUCCUGUGUAGCGGUGAAAUGCGUAGAUAUAGGAAGGAACACCAGUGGCGAAGGCGACUACCUGGACUGAUACUGACACUGAGGUGCGAAAGCGUGGGGAGCAAACAGGAUUAGAAACCCGGGUAGUCC